rnacentral:lncRNA from 1 species
UAAAUCCUAAUAUUGCAUCUCCACACAGCCUAAUAAAAGUCUAAGCAAAAACAGAAUACACAACAACAAUCACUAGACAUAUCAACAUGUUUUUCAACCUUUUUCAUGUACAACAAAGAAACACAAUUGUAACCAAGUAGAUCAAGACAAGGGACCAUGCCCGGUGUCAAAAUGAGAUCCAGAACAACCACCUUACUGUAAUAUGUUACGCGAUUUGCUGAAGGUCUUUAAGUACAAAGGCAAGCGAAGAACAUUGCAGCAAAUAAGGCUAGAUAUCCAUUGUGGCUUCUGUGUUUGCUUGCAGCACCGUGAUGGCGUUUGUGGUGUGCAUUUGCAGCAUAGAUUGGUAUGAAAUUCGAUGAUCCUGGAGUCGAAGGAGAUCGAGAUCCAUCGCCAUUUACUUCCCCUCCACUUCCUCUGCCACCACUAAUAUGAGCCUCUGCAGCAUGACCAUAUUUGCUGUUAAUAACUAUUGUUGUAUUUACAUUAACAUCAUGAUUACUAUUAAGUUGUUCACCCACUAUUGCUUCUUUGUGAUCUGAAAUAAUAGGUUAAUGACAUUCGAAGAUUCUACAAUACAUAUUAUUUAUCAGGUAAAUAUCAGCUGAUUCAGACGAAAUCAGAAUUUAAACUUGACGAGUUCAACCUUAGGUUCUCACAGCUAACUAAAUCCAAAUGUAUUUUCGCAGUAAGGGGUUCAAUUUUAGUGAUUUGACACUCUCAAACACACGGUUCAAGCCGUGGAAACUACCUCCGGUAGAAUACAAAGUAAGGUUGCGUACAAUAAACCCUUGUGAUUCGGUUCUUCCCCGGACUCCAUGCAUGUAUAUAGCAGGAGCUUUAGUUCAUUGGACAACCCUUUACACUCUCAAACAAACAUACAUGCUCAUGUGUACACACAAUAUAUAAAUAUAUUUUAAACAGUACAAUGGUUGUGGGGACUUCCCUCCUCUAUGAUUCAGAUGAAUAAUUAAAGAAAAAAUCCAUAUCCCUUAAUUGAAAGAGUGAAAAAAACACAAAGUUUUCCUUUCAAUUAAGUAAAUGGAUUGCUAAUUGAUCAGGUUAUGAAAAGCAGCACAUCAACUCUUUGGUUUAAACAGAAAAGAAUCAAUAAAUUUGAACACAUUAGGUCAAUUCAACAACAUUAAGAGAAACCAAGAAACUACAUAAUACUUUCUUUGGGGAGUGUCAGCGGGGGCGGAGCUAGUGUUGUGGUUCAAUAACUUUACUUAAGAUCAUACUUUUGUGUUAAGAGAUUCACCUAAUAUAUAUAAAUAACUUAACUCAGUAAAUCCAUAAAUUUAAAAUUUCAAAUUCACCUUUGGGUGUCUGGACCACCUUGUGGUACCUCAACUAAUUUCACGAGUAAUUUGCUAUCUCCCACCAGCACAAAAUUAACCUAUAAUUAAUUCUAUCCACCAAAUCUUGAUCGGAUGGGGAAAAAAUAAACUCAAGAAUACUUACACAGAGGGAUUAAGAGAUGAAGAAAAUAAAAUUAC